rnacentral:rRNA from 1 species
CAGUCGUACCGGCGGAAAAUCAGCUCUUCGAGUGCGAACUUGUGGGCGUACGUGAGCUUUAACCGGCCUCGUUGUUUGCGAUGUUUGUGCUUUUUGGGUGUACUUUUUCGUAUGGUAGGCCAACGUCAGUUUCGAUCACCGUAAAAUGAUCGGAGGAAUGUAGCUUUGAUCUCGUAUUGAAGUGUUAUAGCCUCUGGUAGAUGCGUGACCCGAAACUGAGGAUUGCAACGAAUACCCCUUUGGGCUAUCCGUCUGACCUCUGAAAGUUGCUUAGGUGCCGAAAGCGUGCUUACGGCUA